ACGGAGGGUGCAAGCGUUACUCGGAAUUACUGGGCGUAAAGGGAGCGCAGGCGGUCUAUUAAGUCAGGUGUGAAAGCCCGGGGCUCAACCCCGGAAAUGCACCUGAAACUGGUAGACUUGAGGAUGAGAGAGGAAAGUAGAAUUUCUGGUGUAGAGGUGAAAUUCGUUGAUAUCAGAAGGAAUACCCGUGGCGAAGGCGGCUUUCUGGCUCAUUUCUGACGCUGAGGCUCGAAAGUGUGGGUAGCAAACAGG
rnacentral:rRNA from 1 species